CCUGGCUCAGAUUGAACGCUGGCGGCAGGCCUAACACAUGCAAGUCGAGCGGAAACGGCAGCAUUGAAGCUUCGGUGGAUUUGCUGGACGUCGAGCGGCGGACGGGUGAGUAACGGCUGGGAACCUGCCCUGACGAGGGGGGUAACCGUUGGAAACGACGGCUAAUACCGCAUAAUGUCUUAGUUCAUUACGAGCUGGGACCAAAGGUGGCCUCUACAUGUAAGCUAUCGCGUUGGGAUGGGCCCAGUUAGGAUUAGCUAGUUGGUAAGGUAAUGGCUUACCAAGGCGACGAUCCUUAGCUGGUUUGAGAGGAUGAUCAGCCACACUGGGACUGAGACACGGCCCAGACUCCUACGGGAGGCAGCAGUGGGGAAUAUUGCACAAUGGGGGAGACCCUGAUGCAGCCAUGCCGCGUGUGUGAAGAAGGCCUUCGGGUUGUAAAGCACUUUCAGCAGUGAGGAAGGUGGUGUACUUAAUACGUGCACGGCUUGACGUUAGCUGCAGAAGAAGCACCGGCUAACUCCGUGCCAGCAGCCGCGGUAAUACGGAGGGUGCGAGCGUUAAUCGGAAUUACUGGGCGUAAAGCGCAUGCAGGCGGUUUGUUAAGUCAGAUGUGAAAGCCCGGGGCUCAACCUCGGAACCGCAUUUGAAACUGGCAGGCUAGAGUCUUGUAGAGGGGGGUAGAAUUUCAGGUGUAGCGGUGAAAUGCGUAGAGAUCUGAAGGAAUACCAGUGGCGAAGGCGG
rnacentral:rRNA from 1 species